rnacentral:rRNA from 1 species
CCUACGGGUGGCAGCAGUGGGGAAUAUUGCACAAUGGGGGGAACCCUGAUGCAGCAACGCCGCGUGGGUGAAGAAGUACUUCGGUAUGUAAAGCCCUGUCAGCAGGGAAGAAAAUGACGGUACCUGACCAAGAAGCCCCGGCUAACUACGUGCCAGCAGCCGCGGUAAUACGUAGGGGGCAAGCGUUAGCAGGAUUUACUGGGUGGAAAGGGGGCGCAGACGGCAGGGCAAGCCAGGGGUGAAAGCCAGGGGCCCAACCCGGGGACUGCUCUUGGAACUGCGCGGCUGGAGUGCAGGAGGGGCAGGCGGAAUUCCUGGUGUAGCGGUGAAAUGCGUAGAUAUCAGGAGGAACACCGGUGGCGAAGGCGGCCUGCUGGACUGCGACUGACGUUGAGGCCCGAAAGCGUGGGGAGCAAACAGGAUUAGAUACCCGAGUAGUC